AAACAAAUUGAAGAAAGAGAAACUAUGACAUUCUCAAGUUUAUACUAACAUGCUAUGUGAAGAGGAAUACAUUUCGGAAAUAUAAAAUACACUGGAUAAAAUCUCAGCAGACAAUUUUCUUUGGGCUACUAUAGUACCAUGCAACUAAUGAAAAAUCUAAGGGAGUUAUUAUUAAGGUUUGUUAAAGUUUUGCACUGUAGGAUUUUGUGGAAUUGGGAGCCUGAUUGAUUUCAUUCUUAUUUCAAUGCAGGGACAGGGCCUUGCUCUGUUGCCCAGGCUGGAGUGCAGUGGCGUGAUCAUAGCUCAUUGCAGCCUCGAAUUCCUGGGUUCAAACAAUCUUCCUGCCUCAGUCUCCCAUCCAGUAUGGGAUAUUUUAAAAGAUUGUUGGACCUUCAGAUGGAAGUAGUUACAUUAUAGAUUACUAUGGAACCAGACUUACAAGACUGAGUAUUACUAAUGAAACAUUUAGAAAAAC
rnacentral:sRNA from 1 species